rnacentral:rRNA from 1 species
GACGAACGCUGGCGGCAGGCCUAACACAUGCAAGUCGAGCGCGCGGCGGACGGGUGAGUAAGGUCUGGGAAACUGCCUGAUGGAGGGGGAUAACUACUGGAAACGGUAGCUAAUACCGCAUACCAUCAGAUGUGCCCAGAUGGGAUUUGCUAGUAGGUGGGGUAACGGCUCACCAAGGCGACGAUCCCUAGCUGGUCUGAGAGGAUGACCAGCCACACUGGAACUGAGACACGGUCCAGACUCCUACGGGAGGCAGCAGUGGGGAAUAUUGCACAAGGGGCGCAAGCCUGAUGCAGCCAUGCCGCGUGGGUGAAGAAGGCCUUCGGGUUGUAAAGCACUUUCGGCGGGAAGGCGGUACCCGCAGAAGAAGCACCGGCUAACUCCGUGCCAGCAGCCGCGGUAAUUC